rnacentral:tRNA from 1 species
ACAGUGGUGGUUCAGUGGUAGAAUUCUCACUUUCCAGGCUGGAGACCUGGGUUCGAUUCCCAGCCAAUGCA